GAUAUCUUAUUCCGUGGGUCCAACGAACGAGAGUCGGUAUCACGCAAUAAGUUAUUAUUACAAAAUCUCAUGAUAAUACGAUAGGAAGCUUUCACGCACAUUCAAAUUUCUAACUUCAAAGUUUACAUGUACUUACUGCGUUGAUACACGGCAUAUUCGGGUUCUCGAGUCUCGGCAGUCAGCAAAUACUUCAAAAUAUCAAAUACUGUAAGUAUGACAUUUAUAGUAUUGGACUACAUAUCAUCAAAUAGGUACGGAGUCACAGGGCUUUCUUCACCGGCAUUUCAGAUUGGACUGAGUACCUCUUAAACUCCCAAAUCGUUUAAAAAAAAUUCUGUCAAUCACACUCGUUGACAAUGCAAUCCAAAUAUAAGUUGACCAAAUCAAUUGUGAGGUGGUUAUGUACCUGUCAUUGUUCCUGCAUAAACACUACCACUUCGAGGAUACUUGAAACGUGACAAAUAUAAUGAAACUGUAAACUGGUAGCUUGCUACGCUGAAAUUCACUAGCCAAGCGAAAUACAGAAAAAACGAGUAUGACCUCAACAGAGUACAAAUUUUAAGAUUUCCAUCCUAUGGGGAACCUAAACAAUUAUAACAUGUCAUUUUCUUGGAGAGCAAUGGAGGAUGAUAGGUAGUGCCAAAUGCAUUGCUCGUAACAUUAAGUUGUGUCCAAGAUUCAGAAGAGACAUGCAAAAACACUUAAGUAAAAUAUGUACCGACUUCACCAGAAUUGUAACUAUGAACCAACAAAGUUGUAGACUGUCCUCUACGUGGAAAUUUCACUCAGAAGUGCCAUAACAAUGACCACAACUGUUGAUUGAACAUAAUUGUGUAAUUCUGGAUUGCUGUCAAUACCCAUCAUUACGGAAAAAAAAACCAUCAACCAACACAAUUAUUCAUAAAAUUGUUUAUCUGCUAAUAGUAUAUCAUAUGAAUCCAAUAAAAACAAAAUGAGCCCUUUAAAGGCUUCCACUGAAAAAAAGUUUCCCACUAUUUUCCCACAGAGUAAUCAAAAUAACGUAUAUAAAUACAAAAUAUGUGAAACCAGUAUAGGUAUACUGUAUCCAUGACAAAAUACAUAGGUAUGUCAAAAGCAAAAAUACAAAUUUGAAUCUUAUAUGCGCAUCUCCACUUUUUUUUAUUUUUUAUAAGUUCUAUGAUCUUGAUGCUUUAAUAUAAUAUGAGACCAGUGAAAGGCAGAACUCAACAUGAGGUAGAAAGUGAGGGAUAUGGGUAUUACAAUGUUGCUGACAUACCUACAUACUUUGUCAUGACUAUAUAGUAAUAACUUAUAAGUAAAUAAUACUAAAUACUAAAUAAUAAUUUAUGAUAGUAAUAUAAUUGCAUAAUCACCAAACAUAAUAUAUAAUGCAUAGUUGAAUAGAUAAUGAACAUUAAACGGUACAGUUUAGGGUAACCAUUAUUAAGAUAAGAAAAAUAUAAUUAAUUUACCCAGUAUCCAAGUAUCCCAUACACCAGCAGUUCUUAAACUGUGUUUCACGGCCUCCUCGGGAUCUGCAACAGUGCGAUACUCAUCGUCUUUUCUGUCAUACACACACAAUAUACGCACAUAUUAAUUAUUAUUAUUAUUUAUUUUUAUUAAAUUAUAGGUAUUUUUGGAUUGUUUGUAAUGAAGAAAAGAAACUUUUGUAAAAAUAUGUGCAAAUGUUACUAAGAAAUUAAAUUUUUUAUUUUUUUCUCAUAAAUUCGGGGCACCGUGGCUUUAAAGAUAUUUUACUAGGACUGCGUGGCAAAAAAGUAAAGAACUGCUGUCAUACACGUUUGUAUACUCAUUGGCGUCACUAGAAUCACAAUAAAAAGAACUAUCCAUAAAAAAUUGCCUUCUGUUUAAUUUUUCAAACGUGAAAAUAAAUAUAUUUUGUAUUUAAUUAGCUUAUUUAAAGUCUUAACUGAACUUGAUUAUAUUAUUAGAAUAUGUUAUACAUUUUAACAAUCAAAAAUUGUUUUGACUGAUAUUUUUACUUCAUACUGUAAGUUACAUCUUACAACUAUAAAAACAAAUCAAUUUCUUGAAUAAUAAAUUUUAAAUAUAAUUUUGUGCUAGCAAAAGUACCACUCAAAUAUCCCUUAAUGACGCCUAUGUGUAUACUCAUUUUUAAUAAAUAGUUAGUAUCUAAUAUAUUUUCGGAUAAAAAAUAAUAAUGUUGUUAUUAAAAAGUGAUAGUAACUUGAAACUUAGUUUACAUUUUAGAUUCUGAGCUAUGAAUGUAUUGAUUUUAAAAUGUGUGUUUUUUAAAUUUAUUUUCAAUUUUUUUGUGUCCGUCAUUACUUUUUGGGACAGUAAAACUGCUUUAGUUUUCUUCAAGGGUAUCUUGUUCGAUGGGAAAAUGAAUCUAGUUUUUUUGAGCUGUUUGCUGAAGUUUUCAGUUUUCAAUUUUUAUAGUUUUUUUUCUAUAAAUAUCAAUACAAUAUUUGUUGGGUAAAAAAGCGUGAAAAUUUAAUGCAAGGCUCCUGAUAAAUUGUUUCAAUAGCCCUUGAAAAUUAUUAUAAAUACAUAGGCACAUUUUUUUUUUAUAAACAUUAAAAGAUUGAAUUUUGACAAAAUCUAUCAAAUUUAAAAUAUUAAAAUGAUUUUAUAGUAUAAAAUGUUCAACUUUUAUAGGAUUGAAAAUUUAAAACAAGGUUCCACGUAAAUAUGUAAAUAAAUUACUUUAUUCAUAAUAAUAUCAUAAAAUAUACUUAGUAAUAUACCUAUUAUACCUAUAAUAGACUGAUUGACUGCCUUCUCUCAGAAUCAUUUUUCGUAUACAAUGAUAUUAUAUCAUUGAAUUCAAAUUUAACCCCAUCCAUUACAGUGAUUCACUUGUCACCUACUGUACAGCAGAGCGACACCCACUUGCCCACCAUUUUUUUUGUCUAUGUAAAUUAACUUAAAAAUAUCAGCUUAUAAGACAACAAAGGUUGGCAAGUGAUUACUGCUCUGUUUUACAUUAGGUGUCAUAUGAGCCAUAAUGGAUGUGUUAAAUUUAAAUUCAAAGUAAUACUAACACAGUAGGUAGGUGAAAUUAAUUUUUGUCAGAAACAUUGCAUUUUAAAAUGUUAUUGUGUAUAUAUAAAAUAUAAUAAAUACGAUAAUAUUCUUUAAAAAUAUCAUGUACCCUCUAAUAAUAUUUUUAAAUUAGAACGAUAUAACUAAAAUUGUUAAUCUAUGUUGAAAUAUCUAAUUUCUUCAAAAUUUAAACUUAAAAUAUCUAUUAUAAAAACUGUGCUUAUACAUUUUUUAUUUUUGUUGGUCACGGAAUGAAGAAUUAACGAGUUAAAAUUUAAAAUUAAGUUAAAACGUUAAGUUAAUUAACUUGUUACUUUUUUUUCAAAUUAACUUUUAACUUAAUAAGUUACUUUUUUUCAAGAUUAACGUGUUAACUUCAAGUUAAUUUUAUUUCAAAAGUAUCUAAAUUAAGUCAAUUUUCGUCCGAAGAAUAAUGCAAAUGAUUGAAUGAAUUUUUACUUUGAUGUAUUAUUUUAAAUUUCCCCAGGCAUAAGCGACACUUUAUGAAAUCUACUUUUUGUAAUUAGAGCAUAAGCGACGUCAUUCUCUAUCGAUUGCUCUUACUCAAUUAUCUACACAAUUAUUUUUUUACGAUAUAAAACGAAAAUUUAGAUUUAGACAUAGGUACUUGCCAAAAAGUGUAUUAUAAAAUUAGUAAAAUUAAUUAUCAGGUAUGUGUAUAAAUGGGAAAUAAGCAAUAUUUAGUUUCAAAUGUUAGCAUAAGCGCCAUAGGAUUUUACUUUAUAAAAAAACCUAUUUUUUGUUAUCCGUUCGGUGGACCAUACAUAAUAAUAAUAAUAAAAUAAUAGGUACGUCGUAAUUUUAAAAUGCAAUAUCCUAUGAAGUUAUUAACAUUUUAUUCCAAAGAGAAUAUUUAUAUCUACCCACAUAAUUUAUUUAUGAUUAAUGAUUAUAAAUUGUAAUAUUAUUAUUAAUGAAAAUUAACUAUGAUAGGCUAUUUGUUUUUUUUUAUAAUCUAUACUAUUAUAUAAAGAGGAGUUGUUAGUUGACGUUGUUGAGGGUAAUCAGCUCUGGAAUUACUGAACCGAUUUCGAAAAUUCUUUCACCAAUAGAAAGCCACAUUCUUCAUGAGUGUCAUAGGCUAAUUUAAAAAGAGAAUUGAUCACCCCCGGUAGGUGCUCAACGGGAAUUUUAAGAUUUACGAUAGAAUUUUUUGUUAAUUAAUGUUUGCUAUGGGUUAUAGGAGUUGAGAAUAAUAUUUAUUUAUUAUUAUUAUUAUUUUAAUUUGAAUAUUAAAAGAGCGUCUCAUUCGUCUCAUUCGUUUUAAUCAGUCGAAGUUACGAUCAGACGAGUACAUCCAUUUGCGUGACGCCAUCGCUACUGAAGGAGACGCGGCCAACAUUGGUCGUUUGACCAUUCUCUCAGCUACUCGUGUUGGAAGCCCACACAUGAUGCAUUCAAUCGCGAAUUGCAACGGGAGCAAGACUAUGAUCGAGAUGAGCUGGCUGAAAGAGUCGAACAAAUGUGCCGAAAAAAAGAGCCAAACACCAUCUUCCUCUUUUGUUUAACAUAAUCACAAAUCAGUGGAAAACUGUACAAAUAAUUAUACCACUAGUUAUGGUGAAACUUAUUUACUCGAUGAUGGUCGCAUAUUUGAUCUUGGUGGUAUUAAGAAUAAUUCUCAAUAUUUUCUUAAAUCCGGUCAUAUUUUUCACUCAAAUCAUCACCGAGUUAGUUUAUAAGUUUCACCAUAACUAUUUGGUGGUAUAAUUAUUAUCGGUAUAGAUUUCCACUGAUUUGUGAUUAUGUUAAACAAAAGAGCAAGAUGGUGUUGGCUCUUUUGCUUAUAAUUAAAACAUACUGCAACAAGUAAAAUUUGGUGCUUCUAACUCAGUACCAAGGACUGUAUGAACAGCAUAAGCUUCAUCUAAAUAUUUUCUACCUACCAAUAUAAUAUAUUUUGAAAAAAUAAGAAAAUCAAAUACAAAAAUAUUAUAUAAUAUUAUACAACUAGCUGACCCGGCAAACGUUGUUUUGCCAUAUAAAUUAUUUCUAAUGAAUAUUUUUGUAGUCAAAUAAAAAAUAACUAAAUUAUUGUAAUUGUGUGUUGAUGACGUGUUAUACUGGUAUAUGGCUGAAAGAGGAAUGGAGCAAUGUGAACAAUAACAAAACACCAAAUAUUCAUUUUUUUGAACUCAUUGUACUUUUAUUAUCUUGACUGAUAAAUUUCAAAUUACAUCUCUAUCACACAUUAAGAAAAUUAAAAAAACACUAUCUGCAGUCUCUUAGUGCAAUGGAAUGUACGAUAUUUUCAGUGUGUUCAUCGGCUAUAUUAUCCGUUAAGUAAUGGGAACGGCAAAUAAAAUAAUAAAAAAAAUAUUACACUGUUCACUAAUGAUAAUACAUUAAUACCUUUAUUAUAAGGAAAACCGUAUCUAUAUAUAUAUAUAUAUAUAUAUAUAUAUGAGAGUCGAGCAUGUCCUCACCGAUGGCUGGCUGAAACGCAAGUUGGCUAAGUAUAAUAUUAUACAUUAAUAAUAAAACAAAAUAAUCACGUGAAAGGUAGACUAUACGUCAUGUACAGUUGUACAAAUUACAGAUAUCUAAUAAGGUAGGUACCAAACGUAUACAGUACAGACGUAAAGUGUCAUUCAUAUGUGUGUAUGUCACAGAUAUAACUAUAUAUAUAUAUUUUGAUUUAUCGGUAGGUACCUAUAAUGUGUUGAAAAUUAAUUUCCAACAAACUAUGUCGUAUAGCCUACAGAAAAUUACCUGUGACUAGUAAACUUACCGGAAUUUGUAUCUGUAAAAUAAUUAUUAAAUUAAGUAGGUAUAUUAAAUAUUAAAAUAAUACUUUAUUUAAUAUUACACAUUAAUGGUGUUGAUAAAAA